AAACCAUGGUGAGGACACUGUCUUAAUAAACCAUUAAAUCUAUCUCAUGCUUCAAAUAGUGAUUCUCCAUCUACCUGAUCAAAUUUGUAAUGUUAUUCCUCAUGUAC